CCUCACUUGCCUCGGGGACCGCUGGUUUACCAGAGGGUGGGGCCUUGUUGGGGGCUUGCCCCGGGCUUGGAGCCUUGCAACAGGCCCCCUGAUUGUAAGGCUGGCUGCUGCUGAUGCUGCUGCUGUUCUUGGACCUUGCUCCCCUCCAAUCCCAGUGAGAUAGAGCUUUUCUGCUGGGCUGACUGAAUGAAGUUCAUGCCCUUCCAGACCUUCUGUUCAUGUCCCUCUGGAGAGCAGGAGUGGUUUUCAUAUCUUGAAGAUGUAGUGUUACUGUGGCAAUGGGCAAGUUGUUUUCCCAAUAUUUGCAUCUUCCCUCGAGUAACCUUGUGUUUUGGGCCAGCUUGAGCUCAGAGCCUUUCAUCCCUGACGGCAAGGAGGAAGAAAGGGGAUUUGUUUGGGACAAAGAAUCUUACUCAACACUUCCAGGAACUCAGAGAAAAACAUAAAGAAUUGAAUAAGCAUCUGACUAAGGAAAGAGAAGUGGCAUAGCAUAAAGGGUAAAAAAGUUCAACUUGGACUCAGGAAGACCUGGAUUUGAAUUCUGCCUCAGAUACUGACUAUACCUCUGGGCAAAUCACUUAUCC